rnacentral:rRNA from 1 species
UACGGAGGGUGCAAGCGUUGUCCGGAAUCACUGGGCGUAAAGGGCGCGUAGGCGGCUCAUGAAGGCUGUGGUGAAAGUCCGGGGCUCAACCUCGGAUCGGCCGUGGCGACUCGUGGGCUGGAGCACUGUAGAGGCGGGUGGAAUUCCGGGUGUAGCGGUGGAAUGCGUAGAGAUCCGGAAGAACACCAGUGGCGAAGGCGACCCGCUGGGCAGUGGCUGACGCUGAGGCGCGACAGCGUGGGGAGCAAACAGG